rnacentral:rRNA from 1 species
AGUGAACGCUGGCGGUAGGCCUAACACAUGCAAGUCGAACGGCAGCACAGUAAGAUUUUGCUCUUACGGGUGGCGAGUGGCGGACGGGUGAGGAAUACAUCGGAACCUACUUUUUCGUGGGGGAUAACGUAGGGAAACUUAUGCUACUACCGCAUACGACCUACGGGUGAAAGCAAGGGAUCUUCGCACCUUGCGCGAUUGAAUGAGCCGAUGCCGGAUUAGCUAGUUGGCGGGGUAAAGGCCCACCAAGGCGACGAUCCGUAGAUGGUCUGAGAGGAUGGUCGGCGACACGAGAGCUGAAACACGCUCCAGACUCCUGCGGGAGGCAGCAGUAUGGAAUGUUGGGCAAUGGGCGGAAGCCUUACACAGCGAUGCCAAGUGUGUGACGGAGGCGUUCGGUUUGUAAAGACCUCUUGUUGGGUGAAAACAUCUGUGAGUAGAUAAGCGGCUAUACUGACGGUACCUGAAGAAAAAGCACCGGCUAACUUCGUG